AUUGAACGCUGGCGGUAUGCUUUACACAUGCAAGUCGAACGGCAGCACGGGGCAACCUGGUGGCGAGUGGCGAACGGGUGAGUAACAUAUCGGAACAUGUCCGGAAGUGGGGGAUAACGUACCGAAAGGUACGCUAAUACCGCAUAUGCCCUGAGGGGGAAAGGGGGGGAUCGCAAGACCUCUCGCUUUCGGAGUGGCCGAUAUCGGAUUAGCUAGUAGGUGAGGUAAAGGCUCACCUAGGCGACGAUCCGUAGCUGGUCUGAGAGGACGACCAGCCACACUGGAACUGAGACACGGUCCAGACUCCUACGGGAGGCAGCAGUGGGGAAUUUUGGACAAUGGGCGCAAGCCUGAUCCAGCCAUACCGCGUGAGUGAAGAAGGCCUUCGGGUUGUAAAGCUCUUUCAGCCGGAAAGAAAUCGCACUGGUUAAUACCUUGUGUGGAUGACGGUACCGGAAGAAGAAGCACCGGCUAACUACGUGCCAGCCGCCGCUGUAA
rnacentral:rRNA from 1 species